GUAGCCUACUUUUUUCUGCAAUGGCUGAUCAUCAUCUUUUACAUUAUAGCGACUCAGCUGCGGUUGGGAACCGUUUCGCCCGCAAAGGUGCUCUGCGGCAGAAAAACGUGCAUGAAGUCAAAAAUCACAAAUUUACUGCCAGGUUUUUCAAGCAACCGACAUUCUGCAGUCAUUGCACAGACUUCAUAUGGGGAUUUGGGAAACAAGGAUUCCAGUGCCAAGGUUGCUUCACUCCGCUCUCCAGGAGACAUCAUCCCCUGCAGGUGAUAUCAUCAUGUAUGAUAUGUUAGUUACACUGACGGGUGGACCGGUGACACAUGCCCGGCAACCAGGCUGUCACUUAGUGAGCCCUAAUGGCAGCGUGGGAGGAGAGCCGAACAGUGGACCUCAUUAACCAAUCAAGGAGCAGAAGUGUGGGGGCAGCGGAACGGGGGAGAGAGUGAGACAGAGAGUUACACUAGCUAGAGCUUUCGUAUGAUGGAAACAUGAAACAAUAAACAUCUUACACAACCAAAGGCUGGCUCAGCCAUGCUGAUUCUCUUCU